ensembl:lncRNA
CAGCCAAGGAGCGGCCAUAUUUUUCCAAGACCAAGAACUUCACUUCCACUGAAGUAAAAUAAAGAGAUAUUUAAUUAUUUAUUCAUUCAUUCAUCCCAUUCUCUCAAACCAGCGACAAUUUCUUUCCUUCGAUCCACGCACCAUUGCGGAAAAUCGUGGAGGCAGGAAGCCGAUCUGCUCUGAGGAGAUGACAGCCAAUUAAUGGACGGGGAAAGUCCCAGAAUUCACCCAUAUCAGUCAAGAUGGCAACCCUUGGUGCCUCAUGGAGGAAAAUACAGAGGCAGGCUGGCAGGCCACAACUGUGCUCCUAAAUAGCUGUACAGGCUGUUGGAUCCAAGGAGUCUGGAUAUUUAUAGUGAGGCAGCACAGUACAAAGCGAGGGCAGGCCAGGCAUGACAGUUCUCGGGUGGUCUGGGUUGUUUUCUCAGCCCUAUUGUGUUGUCUGUCCAUCUUCAGGCAGGGGGCCUGUUGCACUUUUACUGCCUAUUAUUCUAAUGAACAAAUGCAUUUCCAAAUCUUUUCAAAUACAGAUAUAUAUAGGACCACAAAAUGGACAUAAAUGAAACAUGACUAUAAUAGCAACAUGUUUUCUGUCUGAACGUGAUUUAUUUAAAGUCACAAUAUAAACAUAUUGUGUUUGGGAUGGAGCAGUGGAAUUAAAGCCUGUUGUUUGAAUAACAGGUUCACACCUUCUGAGCUACUAGUUUGACAUCAACUCCAAUGUGGGCUCCCAGAUGGGCUGGCAGACUAAAGUGUUUUGUUGUGGAACCAAAGUGACCACCACAUGUAAUAAAAAAUAAACACCAUCC